rnacentral:piRNA from 1 species
UGAAAGGUUCACAGUACAGUCGGUGA